rnacentral:lncRNA from 1 species
CUCAGUAUAGACCAGGUUAUGAAACUUGCUAGGUGUUGGGUUAAGGUCACUACAGUAUAAACUCAGUAUAGACCAGGUUAUGGGUUGCUAGGUGUUGGGUUAAGGUCACUACAGUAUAAACUCAGUAUAGACCAGGUUAUGAAAUUGCUAGGUGUUGGGUUAAGGUCAGUAUCAACUAGGUUGUGGGGACUGUCUGGUAAUUAGUCAAAUCUUAUGUCAUUGGUGUAGAAAAAGUAAUAAUCAAUAUGCUGGAUGUAUUAUAAACAUUGUAUUGUGAAGACAUGUUUUAUUUAGUUAAUGUCAUUACACUAGACCAAAACCUGUCGAGCUGUCUGUUGAAUUACACUAGACCAAAACCUGUCUAGCUGUGUGUUGAAUUACACUGGACCAAAACCUGUCUAGCUGUGUGUUGAAUUACACUGGACCUAAACCUGUCUAGCUG